rnacentral:rRNA from 1 species
AUUGAACGCUGGCGGCAUGCUUUACACAUGCAAGUCGGACGAGUGGCGGACGGGUGAGUAACAUAUCGGCACGUACCGAGUAGUGGGGGAUAACUAAUCGAAAGAUUAGCUAAUACCGCAUAUUAUUCGAGCGGCCGAUAUCUGAUUAGCUGGUUGGGGGGGUAAAGUCCUACCAAGGCGACGAUCAGUAGCGGGUCUGAGAGGAUGCUCCGCCACACUGGGACUGUGACACGGCCCAGACUCCUACGGGAGGCAGAAGUGGGGAAUCUUGGACAAUGGGCGCAAGCCUGAUCCAGCCAUGCCGCGUGUCUGAAGAAGGCCUUCGGGUUGUAAAGGACUUUUGUCAGGGAAGCGGUACCUGAAGAAGAAGCCCCGGCUAACUACGUGCCAGCAGCCGCGGUAAUUC